CGCGAAGCCCGCCUCGAGCGGAAGCGGAAGUUACGUAAUCCCCAGCGCCGCGCGCAGACAAGAGGACCCACCCGAGAGAGGAGCUAAGUGGAAACUGUGGAAACCGUGGCAACAUUCCUUUUGGCCUGGAUCGAAGGUUUCUUCACUCCCCCGGCUCAUCGUCAACCCCCGGGCCUGAACUCAACACCUGGCAAAGCAAAAUACUUGCCUUAAAUUCCCCUCAAACAGAUUCUUCCGUCUUCUCUUGGAGUCGCCGUCCUUCGGCCUCUGAGAUUUAAAAGUUCUCACCUUGGUCAGCUGGUGCCUGCUACUACCCAACGAUGACUUCUGGGCAGCUAUAUGAGGAAACCAAGUCUUUAACAUUCCUUCUACCUGUAGCAGUGUUGCUAGAUAACGCUCUCUGUGAAAAAUACAUUAAAAAAAGAGAGAAAGCCAUUAGCUGUGAAAAAAAAGCAACAGGAUAGGAUUGGAGAUAUCUCCCUUUUUAUGAAGUAAUGAGGAAAGUACCAAGGGGACUUACCCCAUCUGUGGCUUCUGCAAAACACCCACGAUACGCUGGAUCCUAUCCAUUGCUACACUCUGCUGGAAACUGCUCAAUCCUGGGAUCAGGGAGAGAGAAAGAGAGAUCAAGCAUUGAGAUUCAAGAAUUUAGUCAG